GUAUAGGAUUUGAUCUGUUGAUUUCUUUAUUAUUGAUUAUUUUCAGAAGAACAACGAUAUUGGUUUGCUGAGAACGAAAAAUGACAUCAAGGCUACACGCGAAUUGAUCUUUGGUGUCACCAGAAACACGUUCGUUUUGCAGAAAUUGCCUCCUGAGCUUCGAGGAUUCAGUGUCAACCUGGAAAGUAUACUUGUGUGGUGUGCUCGUGAAUGUAGACUCCACAACCAGUACGUCGAAGAUGGUCCCCAGACUAUAGAAUUUAGCCUAAAGUUAGAUGGGAGACCUUUAGCUGGAAGAGAUCAAGUUUCUGUUGGGGUUGUGCCUAUAAAGAUGGGGGAUGUAAAGAAGUGCCAAAGRUCUCUCUCUGUAUAUCCUCUUGCUAUAGCAAAUUGCUCAGAGAACAGGAUUGCCCUUAAACAGGUUAUUGCUAGAUUAAAAAAAGAAAAAAAGGCAAUAAAGGAUGGUGGAGGAAUAACAGUUGAUGGGAAGAAGUUUAAGGUCAAGUUCAAAGGUAACCUUUUUAAGUCAAACUUUGUAUUAUUUUCUAUUCAAGAAUUAAAGCUUUUA